CCUACGGGCGGCAGCAGGGAGGAAUAGUGGGCAAGGGGCGCGAGCCGGAACCAGCCAAGUCGCGUGAGGGAUGAAGGUGCGAUGGAGCGUAAACCUCUGUUAUAAGGGAAUAAAGUGUGGGACGUGUCCUAUUUUGUAUGUACCUUAUGAAUAAGGAUCGGCUAACUCCGUGCCAGCAGCCGCGGUAAUACGGAGGAUCCGAGCGUUAUCCGGAUUUAUUGGGUUUAAAGGGUGCGUAGGCGGCCUUUUAAGUCAGCGGUGAAAGUCUGUGGCUCAACCAUAGAAUUGCCGUUGAAACUGGGGGGCUUGAGUAUGUUUGAGGCAGGCGGAAUGCGUGGUGUAGCGGUGAAAUGCUUAGAUAUCACGCAGAACCCCGAUUGCGAAGGCAGCCUGCCAGGCCAUGACUGACGCUGAUGCACGAAAGCGUGGGGAUCAAACAGGAUUAGAUACCCGUGUAGUC
rnacentral:rRNA from 1 species